UGUUAGAAGCUGCCAGAAGCUUCCCCUGUCCCAUGGAGCCACUGCCAGCCGGCUCCAGGACGGGCUUCCUGCCACUGGCCAAGGCCGAGUCAAUCAGGAGUGAUAGUAACGCCUCUGUGAUAACAUAUUUAAGAACAGAAGGUUGUUGUGCAGAAAGAAUUCCAGCCAGGGAAGAGCAGAGCGAGAACAUGGGAACAACAAGGCAGACACCAAGGUCAGUGCAGAAGGAGGGGCAGGAGAUGCUCCAGGUACCGGAGCUGAGGCCCUGCAGCCCGUGGUGCAAACCAUGGUGGAGCAGCUGUGCCCCUGCAGCCCAUGGAGGACCACUGGGGUGCAGAGACCCACCUGCAGCCCAUGGGGGAGCCGAUGCUGGAGCAGGUGGAUGCAUGAAGGAGGCUGUGAUCCCAUGGGAGGCCCAAGGCAGAGCAGGGUCCUGCCAGAGACCUGCAGCCCAUGCAGAGGGAAGCCCACGCUGGAGCAGGUUUUUCCCAGUUGCAGAGGGAGAGUGAGAGAUUGGCUUUAGUGGGUACCUGGCAUCUGGCUACGGUCAACCCUCUACAGACAAGAAGUGACACCUGAUUAAAGAUGCAAACUCAGACAGUGAUCUCUGUCUUUGCAGAUUGCUACACCAAGGCCACCAGAGCCAUGCAUGGUCUUGUAUGGAGAUCAACGUAGCUACUGCUGCUCUGAAGUAUUUUUUUUUUUUUAAAGUCUCAUUUUCAAAAACAGAAACUGAAAUUGAACUUUCUAAACAUGAAUUUGAAGCAUCUGCUUUUGGGAACACAAGCACCUAUUUCACACUUAGCGACAAAUCAGCAAGUCAAAGUGCGAAGAAAACAAAUUUAGCAGAUUGAAAAGUAUGAACAUUUACUUGAAGACAGCAGACACAUCCUCAUUUUUGAGCACAUCGACAGCAUCCUGAUUAUUUUGGGAUACAUUAGCAAGGAACAGCUGUGUCUCUGUAACUAGGAAGCCUUAACUUCCUGUUGGAGCUCUAUGAAAAAUAAAAGAUGCCACUGGAAAUACAUUUAUGGAGUUAUCUGUGAUGGGGAAUAGGGAAUGGUUUCAAUGUUGGACUGUGGUGACACCUCUGAAAGUAAG